GUCAUGUCAAAGUCAUUGUCAACAAAAGCUGAGUGCAUGAUAAAUAUGAUAAAAAUGUUAAUUACUCGUUAACGCUUGUUCAGUACAUAAGACGCGCUCCAACUCCGAUCGGAGAUGGCGAUGUCGUAAAUGCUGGCUGUCAGAAGAUUGAUCAUGCUACUUGUAUAAUAUAACUUAUAUAGCAUUAAAUACGAAGGCUUACUUUUAUGCUAAAUAAAGAUUGUUACAAGGCA